rnacentral:rRNA from 1 species
GAUGAACGCUAGCGGCAGGCCUAACACAUGCAAGUCGAGGGGCAGCACAGAAGUAGCUUGCUACUUUUGGUGGCGACCGGCGCACGGGUGCGUAACGCGUAUGCAACCUACCUUAAACAGGGGGAGAAUUCGGAGAAAUCUGGCCUAAUACCCCAUAAUAUACUGAUCGGCAUCGGUUGGUGUUAAAAGUUCCGGCGGUUUAAGAUUGGCAUGCGUGACAGUAGCUAGUUGGUACGGUAACGGCGUACCAAGGCGACGAUGUCUAGGGGGACUGGGAGGUUAACCCCCCACACUGGUACUGAGACACGGACCAGACUCCUACGGGAGGCAGCAGUGAAGAAUAUUGGUCAAUGGACGCAAGUCUGAACCAGCCAUGCCGCGUGCAGGAAGACGGCUCUAUGAGUUGUAAACUGCUUUUGUAUACGGGUAAACCCAGGUACGUGUACCUGGCUGAAAGUAGUAUACGAAUAAGGACCGGCUAACUCCGUGCCAGCCGCCGCAGUAACAC